GACGAACGCUGGCGGCGUGCCUAAUACAUGCAAGUUGAGCGCUGAAGGUUGGUACUUGUACCGACUGGAUGAGCAGCGAACGGGUGAGUAACGCGUGGGGAAUCUGCCUUUGAGCGGGGGACAACAUUUGGAAACGAAUGCUAAUACCGCAUAAAAACUUUAAACACAAGUUUUAAGUUUGAAAGAUGCAAUUGCAUCACUCAAAGAUGAUCCCGCGUUGUAUUAGCUAGUUGGUGAGGUAAAGGCUCACCAAGGCGAUGAUACAUAGCCGACCUGAGAGGGUGAUCGGCCACAUUGGGACUGAGACACGGCCCAAACUCCUACGGGAGGCAGCAGUAGGGAAUCUUCGGCAAUGGACGAAAGUCUGACCGAGCAACGCCGCGUGAGUGAAGAAGGUUGUCGGAUCGUAAAACUCGGUUGGUAGAGAAGAACGUUGGUGAGAGUGGAAAGCUCAUCAAGUGACGGUAACUACCCAGAAAGGGACGGCUAACUACGUG
rnacentral:rRNA from 1 species